rnacentral:rRNA from 1 species
GAAGGCCCUAGGGUUGUGAAGCACUUUAAGCAGGGAGAAAAAGCUAUAAGUUAAUACCUUAUAGCCCUGAUGUUACCUGCAGAAUAAGCACCGGCUAAUUCCGUGCCAGCAGCCGCGGUAAUACGGAAGGUGCAAGCGUUAAUCGGAAUUACUGGGCGUAAAGCGCGCGUAGGUGGUUUGUUAAGUUGGAUGUGAAAGCCCUGGGCUCAACCUAGGAACUGCAUCCAAAACUAACUCACUUGAGUACGAUAGAGGGAGGUAGAAUUCAUAGUGUAGCGGUGGAAUGCGUAGAUAUUAUGAAGAAUACCAGUGGCGAAGGCGGCCUCCUGGAUCUGUACUGACACUGAGGUGCGAAAGCGUGGGUAGCGAACAGGAUUAGAUACCCUGGUAGUCCACGCCGUAAACGAUGACAACUAGCUGUUGGGAGACAAUGUCUCUCAGUGGCGCAGCUAACGUUU